AUUGAACGCUGGCGGCAGGCCUAACACAUGCAAGUCGAGCGGAGCGUCUGACGGGUGCGUAAUGCCUAGGAAUCUGCCUGGUAGUGGGGGAUAACGUCCGGAAACGGGCGCUAUUACCUCAUACUAUCAGAUGAGCCUAGGUCGGAUUAGCUAGUGGGUGGGGUAAAGGCCUACAAAGGCGGCGAUCCGUUACUGGUCUGAGAGGAUGAUCAGUCAAACUGGAACUGAGACAAGGUACAGACUCCUGUAGGGUGCAGAAGUGGGGAAGAUUGGACAAUGGGCGAAAGCAUGAUCCAGCCAUGAAGCGUGUGUGAAGAAGGACUUCGGAUUGUAAAGCACUUAAAGUUGGGAGACGGUACCAACAGAAUAAGCACCGGCUAACUUCGUGCCAGCAGACGCGGUAAUUC
rnacentral:rRNA from 1 species